rnacentral:rRNA from 1 species
UGGGGAAUAUUGGACAAUGGGGGCAACCCUGAUCCAGCCAUGCCGCGUGAGUGAUGAAGGCCUUCGGGUUGUAAAGCUCUUUUGGCGGGGACGAUGAUGACGGUACCCGCAGAAUAAGCCCCGGCUAACUUCGUGCCAGCAGCCGCGGUAAGACGAAGGGGGCAAGCGUUGUUCGGAAUUACUGGGCGUAAAGGGCGCGUAGGCGGUUUGCUUAGUCAGGCGUGAAAGCCCUGGGCUUAACCUGGGAUGUGCGCUUGAUACUGGCAGGCUUGAGUGUGGGAGAGGUUGGUGGAAUUCCCAGUGUAGAGGUGAAAUUCGUAGAUAUUGGGAAGAACACCGGUGGCGAAGGCGGCCAACUGAACCACAACUGACGCUGAGGCGCGAAAGCGUGGGGAGCAAACA